rnacentral:rRNA from 1 species
AGAGAGUGCAAGCGUUAAUCGGAAUUACUGGGCGUAAAGCGCACGUAGGUGGGUAUUUGAGUCGGAUGUGAAAGCCCUAGGCUUAACCUGGGAAUUGCAUUCGAUACUGGGUACCUAGAGUAUGGUAGAGGGAAGUGGAAUUUCCGGUGUAGCGGUGAAAUGCGUAGAUAUCGGAGGGAACACCAGUGGCGAAGGCGGCUUCCUGGACCAAUACUGACACUGAGGUGCGAAAGCGUGGGGAGCAAACAGGGAUUAGAGACCCUGGUAGUCCACGCCGUCAACGAUGAGAACUAGACGUUGGAAGGGUAACCUUUUAGUGUCGAAGCUAACGCGUUAAGUUCUCCGCCUGGGGAGUACGGCCGCAAGGUUA